UACGAAGGGGGCUAGCGUUGCUCGGAAUCACUGGGCGUAAAGCGCACGUAGGCGGAUUGCUAAGUCAGGGGUGAAAUCCUGGAGCUCAACUCCAGAACUGCCCUUGAUACUGGCGGUCUCGAGUCCGGGAGAGGUGAGUGGAACUGCGAGUGUAGAGGUGAAAUUCGUAGAUAUUCGCAAGAACACCAGUGGCGAAGGCGGCUCACUGGCCCGAUACUGACGCUGAGGCACGAAAGCGUGGGGAGCAAACAGGG
rnacentral:rRNA from 1 species